UACGUAGGUGGCAAGCGUUGUCCGGAAUUAUUGGGCGUAAAGCGCGCGCAGGUGGUUUCUUAAGUCUGAUGUGAAAGUCCACGGCUCAACCGUGGAGGGUCAUUGGAAACUGGGGAACUUGAGUGCAGAAGAGGAAAGUGGAAUUCCAAGUGUAGCGGUGAAAUGCGUAGAGAUUUGGAGGAACACCAGUGGCGAAGGCGACUUUCUGGUCUGUAACUGACACUGAGGCGCGAAAGCGUGGGGAGCGAACAGG
rnacentral:rRNA from 1 species